GAACUCAACAUAACACUCCACGUGUGGUCUGAUUUGUCCAGUGUAGAGUAGAAUUAAGACCUCUGAAUAUAAGCUAUAUUUCUCUUGAUGUGAAUGAGAGGUGUUAUCAAUAAAAAUUAAUCUUGGAGGCUUUAUACUAAAUUUAUAAGUAUUUGUUAGUAAAGAGGAAAAAAGAGAGAAAUAAGGUUUCCAGCCUCUCUAACUUAAGGUAAAAUCCAGUCCCAUAUUUCAGCCUGUGAGCCUAUUUGCCAGAGAUAAGAGCCAGAGAAAAGGGUCCAGAAAAAGAACCAGUCCAGAGAGAGCAAAUGAAGCAAAAGAGACCCUUGAGUUUCCUGUACUAGCUUUUCAAAGCUCCCUUUCAGCCUCUCCUCCAAUUCUUUCAGCUCCUUCAAUUGGCCUGGAGCUCCAUACAUCAUAUUUCCUGGCCUCCUGGCUUCCAUGGUACCAUGCAGUUAUAUGACUACACGACUCUCUGUCCAUCCACUGGGAAGCUGAAUUAUCACGUAGGCCAGAGGAAGGAAGGCAGACAGGAAAAGAAGUGCCUGGCACACAGGAAGCCCUUAACAAUCCUUGGUGAGAGGCUGAACUAGCUCGCUGUGGGGAAGAACCUGUGAAUUCAGCAACCCUCAGCUGCCCCUGGAGAGUCCUCUAAAGGAAUAGCUGUUUCCUCUGCCGUCUCUCUCUUUCCAGUCCUGGGUGAGUGCCCACUUUCCUUAGGCUGACGCGGAGAGUUGUCCUCCCCUUUCGGGCUACAAGGCUUCUCCCUCAAGGAAGCCCGAACGUCCAAGACCAGCACAAUUAAGCGGUAAAGCUGCAGCGCGACCACGAGGAAGUUCUUCCCAGCGAAGAAUACCAACAUCUGGUUGAACACUUUGAAGUAGGUCAUCAGGAUGAGACGGACGACGAGGAAAGGCCCAUCCUGGAUGAAGAGGCUGAUUCCAAUGUUCCACAAGUCAGCGCUGUACUGGCAGAGGAACAAACUGGUGAACCCCUUAUGUGUCACGGAUGCGGGGCAGACGAAAUGCUGUACUGUAAACACAAGAGACGUCCAUUAGUAUACCAUCUGGGAACACAGACAUGAAUAAACUAUAAGCUGCUGAAGGAA